rnacentral:rRNA from 1 species
AACGAACGCUGGCGGCAUGCCUAACACAUGCAAGUCGAACGAGACCUUCGGGUCUUUUCGCGCACGGGUGCGUAACGCGUGGGAACCUGCCCUUAUGGUCGGAAUAACUCUCCGAAAGGGGUGCUAAUACCGGACAAUGUCUUCGGACCAAAAAUUUAUUGCGUUUGGAUGGGCCCGCGUUGGAUUAGCUAGUUCGGAGGGUAAAAGCCUACCACGGGGACGAUCCAUAGCUGGUCUGAGAGGAAGGUCAGCGACACUUGGACUGAGACACGGCCCAGACUCUUACGGGAGGCGGGAGUGGGGAAUAGAGCACAGCGGGGGGAAGCAUGAUGCAGUUAGGACGGGUGAGUGAUGUAGGCCUGAGGGUAGUAAAGCUCUUUUAACCGGGAUGAUAAUGACGGUACCGGGAGAAUAAGCCCCGGCUAACUACGUG